UAAAAUUCCCAUGGCAAACUGCUCAGUAACACAUGAUCAACUUGCCCUAUAGAGAAAAAUAACCUCGGGAAACUGAGGAUAAUGUUUCAUAGUUGAAUAGGCUUGGAAAAGUUUUUCAAUAAAAGGGAUAAGGAAAAUGGUCUUUAUCUGCUAUAGGAUAGGAUCGUGUUCGAUUAUGGUUGUUGGUGAGGUAAUGGCUCACCAAGCCGAUAAUCGAUAGGGGCCGUGAGAGCGGAAGCCCCGAGAUGGGUACUGAGACAGCGACCCAGGCCUUACGAGGCGCAGCAGGCGCGAAACCUCCACAAUACACGAAAGUGUGAUGGGGUUACCCAAAGUGUUCUAUUUAGAACUGUGGUAGGUGAGUAAUGUUCCCUACUAGAAAGGAGAGGGCAAGGCUGGUGCCAGCCGCCGCGGUAAAACCAGCUCUUCAAGUGGUCGGGAUAAUUAUUGGGCUUAAAGUGUCCGUAGCCGGUUUAGUAAGUUCCUGGUAAAAUCGGGUAGCUUAACUAUCUGCAUGCUAGGAAUACUGUUAUAC
rnacentral:rRNA from 1 species